AGCAGGUUGAAGAGGCAUCCUGAUCCUACGUGAGGUGCUCCGGGUUUCUCGCGGUAUGCUGGAAAUGGAGACACGUUGAUCACAUCAAGCUAGUCGUUAAGCAAGCAAUGAUGCUGACAACAUGAGGUUUAUGUGGGCAUGGCACCACUUUCCAACUCUGUCACCUCAUGCACACGACACAAGGGGAGAGGGUUCCAAGUGAAGAGAAAGAUGCUUCAUGUGUUUUUUGAAGACUUUUUGUAUUUUUGGAGGCUGCAUGAGAUAGACAAUCUUAACUAAUAUGUGUACACAUGCGUAGUCACCGCCCAACUACAUGUAUAUCUAAUCCAGGGAACUUGCUAUUCAGUAUUAUGUACUUUUUUUCAGCGGUUCCUCAGAUUAUUGAUGAAUGGUUUCCCCAGUAACACACCAUGUACAUACUUCAUUUCAGUAACAGGGACAUCCAGUUAUUCAGUA